rnacentral:piRNA from 1 species
UAUGAGAAUUAUGACAGAGCUAGAUGGU